GGUGAGUUAUUUUCGUUUGUUGUCGUAUCUGAUUUCAAUUUUUUUUCGUUGUUUGGGUGUGGCUUUGUGAUGCGGUUUGAUUUUUGGUUUCAGGAAAAGUUAUGGAUACGAUCUAAGCAAAAGUUGUUGUUCAAAUUUUGGCCUUUCUGUCUGCAACCUUGCAAGCUGAUUGCGAUCAAGAGUAUUCCCCUCCUUUUCGGUCUGCGAUUGCAGAGUUGUGACCGGCUUUCCGGCGACUUUUCAGUCCAGUCUGGGCAUGGCCUGCAUUCAGAUCACCGUCAAACAAAUUCUAUUGAACUCAGCAGGAACAGCAGCAGAGACUUGAAACGGAUGCAAUUUCUUAUUCAAGUCCUUUGGAUCCCUUAAAAUGAAGUGACUUUUCACAUAACGGCUCCCGCCGCAGGUGUGUGAAGGCAACGUGGUCCUGAUUGACAGUCUGUUUCACCACAGUUCCAGACGACAAAUUGGUUUCCAAAGCUCUGAUGAUUUCGACUGAGAAAGAGGUCAAUAACAGCAAGGAAUACCAGUUGUUAGCAGGCUAGAAGAGAAAAGAGACUACGAAUCAACGUCAACUAAUAUGGUGGAUUUCUAAAUUGUUGCAUUGACUCUUCAUACCAAAUGGAAUACCAGCUAUUAGCAGGCUAGAAGAAAAAAGAGGCUAUGAAUCAUCGUCAACUAAUAUGUGAUGCAAAAUGGUUGACGUUGGAGUUGGAAAUAAGUCGGCGUUCGUAUAGAUUAUUCUCUCCCUUCCUUGCACCAGAAAGUAAGUAUUAUUCCAAGAAGUUGAAAAGGAAUCAGUGGCUAACAAAGUCGGUGGCAAUCGAUCAAAGAAUGCUAUUGAUCCUUAGUAGUUGAAUCUUCCUUAUGCUCUGCAGGGAAAGGGUAGAAAAUCAUUCCACGCCCUUCACCAGUUCCCGACUCUCAUUGUGCACUGCCAACUCGCGAACCAAGUGGUCUUUCAGCACCUGCAGGAGAUGAACGAAGCGAGAUGGUAUAGUUUUUCCGUAAUUUUUACUAUUGCUAUAUGUAAAUGACCAAAUCGAAAUUGUCUUUUGAGCUCCUUACAAAUUCAGUCUCCUGACUUAUUUUCCUUUUUUUCAAUUUGAAUGCAACUCUGUCCAAUCGUCUUUUUAUUA